CUAAAAGCAUGAACAAACUAGAGUCCACAUGGAUGAUGCUAUGCGACUAGCCAUGUUUAGGAAAGUAAACACAGCUGUCCAAUGAGGGUACAGGAUAGGGAUCACUCAGUAGCCUAAGCAUAAUAAGGAGGUUGACAAAAACAGGCACUAAAAUAAUAGACUGUAUCAAGUGCUGUGUGCCUUUGAGCUAGCCCUGCGUUGUAAUAUGAGUUUGUGUAUAAGUUUGCUUACAUUUUGGUUCCCCCCUGGAGAAAAAUGCACCAGCCGCCACUGCAUUACAUAAUAAGAUGAUUGACAUCGCUUCAUGCUGUAAUGACAGCUCUUAGAAGAACAUUCUAGAAUUCAAGAUUCCAGAGCAGUGUCUCGUGCGCAAAAGAAAUAGGUAGCGCGUGAGGCCAAGAAUGUGUAAAAGUAAUCCGUUCGGCCCGAAACAUCUGUCAGCCAGGAUGUUUGCUUAUGUGAAAUACACGGACGGAUUUAAGGCUAUUGUAGCUACCUAUAACAAACAUCCAAAACUUCAACUUAAAAACAUAUCAAGCGGACAUCCUCUAUCCCAUUCUUUGGGAAGAAAACAUAUUUCAACAGCCAGGUUCUGCUUGUGAAAGGUACGAAUAAUUAGGCUACCUUAACAUUAAUAAUUAAUAUGCGAGUAGCCAACGGCUUAUUCUAACCGUUAGACUCUAACGGCUAGAGUAUGCAGACUUAUAAGCCGUAUAUAUAUAUUUAUAUAUAUAUUAUAUGUUAUAUAUAUAUAGCCUAUAUAUAUAUAUAUACGUUACUAGUACGUUAAGAUGGCUUACUCUAACGGUUAGAAUAAGCCGUUGGCUUACUUUAACGUUAGAAUAAGCCGCUUACUUUAACGGCAUACUCGUUACGUUGACGUAAACUACCGAAAUUAAAGUAAGGUAAAAUCAUUACCAUGGACAUUAAACAUUAACGUUAGCUUCACUUACACUUACCUUUUGACAGAAACCCAAGAGAUUGAGGACUCAACAUCAAAUCCUCCAAAACGAAUCAGAGUUCCAAGGAUCCAAGAAGAUUUUGUUGAUUUUGAUCAUUGUGAAGGGGAAUCCACAGAAAUGGAUGCUCUAAAAAAGAAAUCGGUAUGUUUUUCUUAUUUUUAAGGAAAAUGUUCUGAAAAAUUCAUCUUCUGCUUCUGCUUCUUCCUCUUCUUCUUCUUCCUGGUGCAUGCUGGGAGAUUUUCGGAGGGUGAAAGAAAGAGAAGACUGGUUGUGGACUUGAAGGGAACGACUUCCUGGCCUUCCUGACAUCCAGGAAAAAGAGGCAGUAAAGAUCUACUGGAAACAGUGGAGAGGGAGAAGAUGAUAUGCAGCAAAAGGCCCAGCCGGAUGGUUGCUGCUCCGUGUGGAACGUGUUCUACAGUAUCAGAAAGGAUCAUGCCAGCCCACAUCAAACACCUGAUCAAGAACUUGUGAAUCUUCAGGCAGAAAAGAUGAAAACACCUGUUCAAAGUUCCAGUUUCCUGUACAUCAAACGAUGCCUGUCUGGGACUCUGUUCCACAUGUCUUCAGUCAGUCCUGGACCCUAUGACUAGGACACUAGUUCUACCAAGGCUUAAUAGAGAUAAUACAGCUGCACAAUUACAACAGGAACUAAUCUUUAGACGGUUAAUACAGAAGAUCUGAGCUGGAAGGGGAAGUCGCCACCUACAGGACAGCAAAUCUAAAAAUGUAUUUGGAUAAACUAUUAAACCAGGUAUUUUCACAAAAAGAACAAUCUGAGACACAGUGUGAGCCUGCACCCUGGACACCCACACACCCCAAUAAUCCCCCUUCAAAGAGCGAGCCACAUGGGAAGGCUACUGUACACAUUUUAUGUUUCAGAUUGUUGUCAUUCACUUGCAAGGGGAGAUUCCAGUGCGUCCAGAGGUCUGGGCAAAAAUAAAAAACAACACAAGGGACGCCAUGUUCGUGAAGGAGUUGGCUGUGGCGUUUUGGGGCACCGACACCUUAGGGGAAAGGAGCCUGACUGGAAAGGAAUGCCCCACCACCAAGACCACCAGGCAGCCUCUAACCCUGCAGAAGCUAUGGGGUUUGAAAGUUUGCUUCAAGCAUGGCUGUACGAGAAAGACGUGGAGGACCAAGAAAUGCUGGCCAGAUUGGCAAAGACCGGAAGAUACAUAACAGAGAAGAUAAUGGAUAUUAACAAGAAAAAGAAAAAAAUACUUUAAACAUU